GUCUCAGUUUCCAAAGGCCCAAGAACAAGGAGCUCCAAUGUUCGGGAUGCAAUGGCAGUACCCUCUGACUAGCACACUUUCUGUGGAUGUGGGAGAUUAUGUCUUAAUUCACAGAAAAAAGAAGCCUUUAAGACAGGGCAGUAUGCUUCUGUCCAAAAGCUAACAUUGAUUGAUUGAUUGAUUGCACUGGAGCUGGAAUUCAGGACCUUGUGCAUGUUAAGCAAGCACUCUGCCACUAAGCCAAAUCCCCAACCUGCAAAAGUUGAUUUCAAUGAUGAGGAUUUGCAGGAAGUAAAGAAGAAAAAAAAUGCAUGAGAUAUUAUUUCCAAAAAAAUUAUACAAUAGGACACCUUCCUAGAGUUGGAAACAAGAGUGCUAAUCUGCAUGGGACAGUUUGGCAUAGUGAACACCAAAAAGCAAUGACACAAUUGGCUGACACAGAUUUUGU
rnacentral:lncRNA from 1 species